ACCCGCUGAACUUAAGCAUAUCAAUAAGCGGAGGAAAAGAAACCAACAGGGAUUGCCUCAGUAACGGCGAGUGAAGCGGCAACAGCUCAAAUUUGAAAUCUGGCUCUUUCAGGGUCCGAGUUGUAAUUUGUAGAAGAUGCUUCGGGUGUGGCUCCGGUCUAAGUUCCUUGGAACAGGACGUCAUAGAGGGUGAGAAUCCCGUAUGUGACUGGUUGCCUUCGCCUAUGUGAAGCUCUUUCGACGAGUCGAGUUGUUUGGGAAUGCAGCUCAAAAUGGGUGGUAAAUUUCAUCUAAAGCUAAAUAUUGGCCAGAGACCGAUAGCGCACAAGUAGAGUGAUCGAAAGAUGAAAAGCACUUUGGAAAGAGAGUUAAACAGUACGUGAAAUUGUUGAAAGGGAAGCGCUUGCAACCAGACUUGCACGCGGUUAAUCAUCUGGUGUUCUCACCGGUGCACUUGACCGCGUUCAGGCCAGCAUCGGUUUAGGUGGUGGGAUAAAGGCCUUGGGAAUGUAGCUUCUUUCGGGGAGUGUUAUAGCCCUCGGUGUAAUGCCGCCUACCUGGACCGAGGACCGCGCUUCGGCUAGGAUGCUGGCGUAAUGGUUGUAAGCGACCCGUCUUGAAACACGG
rnacentral:rRNA from 1 species